AUGAAGGGCCUGGAAAGAAUUGCUUCUGAAGAUUUGCUGGAUCAACUUGUCAAGUUAUGGGAACUGCUGCAACCCAUUGUCCUCACAAAUGUUCCUGACACCAUCCGAUGGAAGCUCACUAAUGACGGAGGUUAUUCCGUUGCGUCUGCUUACAAUGCUUAGUUUGUUGGCCGGAUCGCUCAGCCAGAGUUGCAUGCCUCAUGGAGGAUUAAGGCUGAGCCGAAGGUGAAGUUCCAUCUAUGGCUAUUGAUCCAGAAUAGGACCUGGACGGCUGAUCGUCUUGCAACAAGGGGUUGGCCACACAAAGACAAAUGUAGUUUCUGUGAUCAAGUUCUGGAGUCGGCUGCCCAUAUUACACUCUCUUGCCCUUUUGCCCGAGAGGUCUGGUUCUCCUUCCAGCAGAGCGACCCAGAGGCUGCUGUUGUUGGUUCAACUUCGAUGACAAUCAAAGGCUGGUGGAAACGGACCUGGAACCUGCACAACAACCCGAUUUUUCACAUGCAAAUCACAUCGGCUGCUUAUGUUGCUUGGAAUCUUUGGAAAGAAAGAAAUAGGCGACCUUUUGAAGGAAAGAGAUGCUCACCUGAAACAGUUGCUGCUAUGGCCAGAGACAAGAUUGCUUUGUUCAAGGAGGCUACUGCUUAG
rnacentral:rRNA from 1 species